AGAGUUUGAUCCUGGCUCAGAACGAACGCUGGCGGCAGGCCUAACACAUGCAAGUCGAGCGCCCGCAAGGGAGCGGCAGACGGGUGAGUAACGCGUGGGAACGUGCCCUUUGGUUCGGAAUAUUCCCGGGAAACUGGGAGCAAAACCGGAUAAGCCCUUCGGGGGAAAGUUUACGCCAAAGGAUCGGCCCGCGUUAGAUUAGGUAGUUGGUGGGGUAACGGCCUACCAAGCCUACGAUCUAUAGCUGAUCUGAGAGGAUGAUCAGCCACACUGGGACUGAGACACGGCCCAGACUCCUACGGGAGGCAGCAGUGGGGAAUCUUGGACAAUGGGCGCAAGCCUGAUCCAGCCAUGCCGCGUGGAUGACUGAAGGCCCUAGGGUUGUAAAGUCCUUUCGACGGGGACGAUAAUGACGGUACCCGUAGAAGAAGCCCCGGCUAACUUCGUGCCAGCAGCCGCGGCAAUACGAAGGGGGCUAGCGUUGUUCGGAUUUACUGGGCGUAAAGGGCGCGUAGGCGGGUUUUUAAGUCGGGGGUGAAAUCCCGGAGCUCAACUCCGGAACUGCCUUCGAUACUGGAAGUCUGGAGCACGGUAGAGGUGAGUGGAAUUCCGAGUGUAGCGGUGAAAUGCGUAGA
rnacentral:rRNA from 1 species